GACGAACGCUGGCGGCGUGCUUAACACAUGCAAGUCGAACGGAAAGGCCCUGCUUUUGUUGGGUGCUCGAGUGGCGAACGGGUGAGUAACACGUGAGUAACCUGCCCUUUACUGUGUGAUAACUUCAGGAAACGGGGGCUAAUACCUGAUAUGAGCUCCUGCUACAGGGUGGGGGUUGGAAAGUUUCGGCGGUUGGGGCUGGACUCGCGGCUUAUCAGCUUGUUGGUGGGGUAGUGGCUUACCAAGGCUUUGACGGGUAGCCGGCAUGAGAGGGUGACCGGCCACAUUGGGACUGAGAUACGGCGCAGACUCCUACGGGAGGCAGCAGUGGGGAAUAUUGCACAAUGGGCGGAAGCCUGAUGCAGCAACGCCGCGUGCGGGAUGCCGGCCUUCGGGUUGUAAACCGCUUUCGACUGUGACGAAGCGUGAGUGACGGUAAUGGGUAAAGAAGCACCGGCUAACUACGUG
rnacentral:rRNA from 1 species